GUUAGUGAAAUGAAGAGUUGCUACAGGGCAGAAAGCAAAUAAUAAGAGCUCUGUAAACCAAUUUGGUUACUUACUUUCCCUCCAACUCAGGUGCCAUUCACUUAAGCAUUCUUGUGAAGGAACAGCUAUCGGCUAAGUCGUACCAGGGAAAUGCCAAUACAAAAAUAUCAGUAUGUACCUUAAGUAUUGAAUGGAUGUCAAAUACUGGGCAUGAAGAUUGCUAAGCAAAUCUAAGGAACAACUCUCCAAAGGCCACAGAUAGAGGAUUUCACUCUGUCAUUCAGGCUGGAGUACAUGGCUCACUGCAGGCUCGAACUCCUGGGCUCAAGCCAUCCUUCUGCCUCAGCCUCCGGAGUAGCUGGGACUACACGGUCACAUCAGUAUGCCUGGCUAUUUUUUUUUUUUUUUUUUUGAGGCAGAGUCUUGCUAUGUUGCCUAAGCUGAUCUCAAACUCCUGGCCUCGAGUAAUCUUCCUCCUCUACAGCCUCCCGAAGUGCUAAGAUUAGAGGUCUUCAGACAGACUGGAAGUGCAUCAUUGGUGUUCCUGGGUCUCUAGGCUGCAGAUGGUACAUCAUGGAAAUUUUCUACCUCCAUAAUCAUGUAAGUCAAUAUUUUACAAUAAAAUUGUUUGUUUG
rnacentral:lncRNA from 1 species